rnacentral:rRNA from 1 species
CCUACGGGUGGCAGCAGUGGGGAAUAUUGCGCAAUGGGCGAAAGCCUGACGCAGCGACGCCGCGUGAGGGAUGAAGGUCUUCGGAUCGUCAACCUCUGUCAGCAGGGAAGAACGGUCACUGUGCUAAUCAGCAGUGAAUUGACGGUACCUGCAAAGGAAGCACCGGCUAACUCCGUGCCAGCCGCCGCGGGAAUACGGAGGGUGCGAGCUGUAAUCGGUAUUACUGGGCGUAAAGCGCUCGUAGGCGGUAUGUCAAGUCAAGGGUGAAAUCCCCGCGCUCAACGGGGGAACUGCCUUUGAAACUGGCGAACUGGAGUGUGGGAGAGGAUAGUGGAAUUCGAGGUGUAGGGGUGAAAUGCGUAGAUAUCGGGAAGAACAUCAGUGGCGAAGGCGACUAUCUGGCACAUAACUGACGCUGAGGAGCGAAAGCGUGGGUAGCGAACAGGAUUAGAUACCCUGGUAGUC